CACGUCGCUGCCUCCAGGGACUCUCCCAGGAGAGACCCGCGCGCUCCCGGCCUCGAGGAAAUCGCGGUGGGAACAAACAGACUUAUAAAUGGAGGAGCUUUGGUGCCUACCCCACAGGUGGAUGUGAGGAUUAAAUGAGAUCAUCUAUAAGGAAGAUCGUAUCCCUGGACACAAGGAGAGUGAGGAUGGUAUGGUCGAUUGGAAAGUGCCCGCCCCCCUCAAGAUAUGUUGUCAGCCUAAUCCCUGGAACCUGUGAAUGAGACCUUGUUUGGAAAAAGGACUUUGCGGAUGUGAUUAAGUUGGGGAUCCUGAGAUGAGGCGAUCAUCCUGGAUCAUCCAGGCAGGCCCUAAACACCAUCACAGGUGUCCUUACAGGAGGGAUGCAGAUGGAGAUUAGGCAGAUGUGCCGAGGAGACGUGAUGCAAAGAUGGAGGGAUGCAGCUACAAGCCAAGGAGCGCGGAGAGGUGCCAGCAGCUACCAGAAGC